AAGAAAGGUCAUGAGGUUUUGGUGCAAGGCGGUGUGAUUGAUGAUCUCGCAAAACAUCUGAUUGAACAGUAUGGAAUUCCAAAGAGAUACAUUGAAGUUCUUGAUAAAACCAGGAAAUGAGAUGUAGGCAAAUGGUGAAAAAGUGAGGUGGUGAUUGGGGUAUUGAACUUUAUGGAUAUGCAUCAAAUUGCCCGACACUGCCUAGUAAAUGUUUUAUGUUUUUCUUUACGCUUGCUGCAAUACCAGAGUAGAGAGGAAAAUGAAGAGGGAAGAGGUGUAUAAGGUCGUCUUUUGUGCACCAUAGUUUGCAAUACUUCUGUCAUGCCUAGGGUUUAUGAGGUAGCACAUUUUGAAGCUCUAUAAUUUAUUUUCAUUAAGUCAUAUCUCAUUAUGUUAA